rnacentral:rRNA from 1 species
AGUGAACGCUGGCGGUAGGCCUAACACAUGCCAGUCGAACGGCAGCACAGUAAGAGCUUGCUCUUACGAGUGGCGAGUGGCGGACGGGUGAGGAGUACAUCGGAAUCUACUUUUUCGUGGGGGAUAACGUAGGGAAACUUACGCUAAUACCGCAUACGACCUACGGGUGAAAGCAGGGGAUCUUCGGACCUUGCGCGAUUGAAUGAGCCGAUGUCGGAUUAGCUAGUUGGCGGGGUAAAGGCCCACCAAGGCGACGAUCCGUAGCUGGUCUGAGAGGAUGAUCAGCCACACUGGAACUGAGACACGGUCCAGACUCCUACGGGAGGCAGCAGUGGGGAAUAUUGGACAAUGGGCGCAAGCCUGAUCCAGCCAUACCGCGUGGGUGAAGAAGGCCUUCGGGUUGUAAAGCCCUUUUGUUGGGAAAGAAAAGCAGCAGGUUAAUACCCCGCUGUUCUGACGGUACCCAAAGAAUAAGCACCGGCUAACUUCGUG